CUGGGGUCAAUACAGCCUCCCUAGCUAUUCCCAUUGAAGGAGGUGUGGCCUGUUUGCCAACCGUCCUAGUCCCAGUGGAGGAGGUGUGGCCUUUGUGCACAUCGGUACCAGUGAAGGAAGUGUGGCAUCUCUACGCGUCCAUCUCAAUGCUCACAUCUGCGCCUGCAGUUCCAGUAAAGAAGGUGUGGCCUCUGUAUACAUCAGUCCUACUGAGGGGGGUAUGGCUUCUGUAAACAUCAGUCCUAGUGAAGGAGGUGUGUCCUCUGUGACUGCAGUUCCAGUGAAGGAGGCGUAGCCUAUGUACAUAUCAGUCCCAGUGAAGGAGGUGUGUCCUCUGUGACUGCAGUUCCAGUGAAGGAGGUGUGGCCUUUGUACAUGUCAAUCCCAGUGAAGGAGGCGUGUCCUCUGUGCCUGCAGUUCCAGUGAAGGAGGUGUGUCCUAUGCAAAUGUAUUUUCCAGAAGGACGUUUCGUGUCA
ensembl:lncRNA